UUACUGCAUGGUUAUGCUUGCAUGUAGGGAGUAAAAAUUCUUCUUCUUUAUAUUUACUCCCUACAUGCAAGCAUAACCAUGCAGUGA